GGUUUCCAAGGUGAAGGGGGCGGAGCCUCGGCGAGAAAGUUUCCACCGAAACUUGAACCGGCGCUCGACGCGGGAUGCCUCGCCCCUGGGGGUUCGCCUUUCGCAGGGACUUCACCUCUUCACACGGCGCCAAAAUGAGCGAAAUACACCUUCGUGUUUCUAUUGAACUCAGGAGUCUCCAAAUUGAUACAACAGUAAGUAAUCAUGUUUUCUUACAGCAAAUUUCAGUCUUGUCACUGUAUUCAAGUCAAAUAGAAAUUUCCUGAUAGUUUCAGUGAAGGCAGCUGUAAAAACUGCUUAACCAGAGAGCUGUCGGGUGUCCAAUUUAUCCUGUUCACUAGUUUUUGUACUUGAU
rnacentral:lncRNA from 1 species